CGCGGGUGCACCGCCGACC
rnacentral:snRNA from 1 species